rfam:Jaapia argillacea MTCL 33604 unplaced genomic scaffold JAAARscaffold_1, whole genome shotgun sequence.
UCCCGCUUAGCUCAGUUGGUAGAGCGCGUCACUAGUAAUGACGAGGUCAGUCGUUCAAGUCGGCUAGUGGGAA